UUUUUCGUUUCAGUGAACCCAUCUCUAUAGAUUAUUACAACUGCAGAAAAUUCAUAAGGCGACCCAGUGAGGACUCUGCGCAGUCUUAUCAAAAUGUUGUUGGACCAUCCAAAGGCACCGGGUGCGGCUUCCCAGAGAUGGGUGUCUAUGAAAACAGUGCAGCUAUCAUAUUAUGGCAAA